ensembl:lncRNA
AUGAUAUAUUAUAUUGUGAACGUCUCUCAGUAUGAUCAUGGUAUUGUCUCUCUGUUUCACCAGCUGCAGAAUGAUGACCUGCUCAUUACCUGUUCCUCUGGAGAGCCCUCCUCCCUCUUCACUGACACCCCGAGCCCAAUGUCUCUGUUGGCAGAUGACAUUACCCCCCCUGCAGAAUGCGUUGACCUGUCCUUCCUGGAAGAGGCUCUACUGGGGGGGUCUCCCGAGGGAGGGGGGGAGAGAAGUGGGGAGGGAGAGGAAGUGCAGGAGGAAGAGGAAGUACCGCCCUGUGACAUUCUCCAGCAGAGUCUUCAGGAGGCUGACAUCACAGAGCACACUAUGGCUCAGGAGGCAGGGCUCGUCCAAACAGGGCCUGGGGAGGGCCACACCCUGUCUCUCUACACACCUUGCCCCCCACUCCUCCUCCCUCCUGCUGCCGUGCCGUUCCUCUCCAAAACCCUAGCCUUCCCUCACCCCCACCCUGGCCCACACACCCUGCAACACAGGGACACCCAGGCGGCGGUGGAGCCUCCCCAACCAUCCCUGCUGGCCGUGGGACCAGGCUGCCCCUCGCUGAAGCCUGCUGCUCCCCAGCUGAUGGGCCUCCUCCCUGGGAACAUCUUCCCCGCACCCUCGCCAGAGACUUCCUUCUCCCUGACCCCUGCACAGGCCUCCAACACCUCCUUUUCCCUCAUCCAGAAGGCAGUUCCUAGCCUGACAGGGCGCCCCCUACUGGCCCCAACCCUCAGAGCGGCUGCAGCUCCCGGGAUCUUUCUCCAGAGAGGACCCCUGCCCAUCCAGCCCAAGCUGCCUAUCAGCAUCCAACCCCGACUUGUUCAGAUCAGCCCUAAGCCUCCUGGUCCUGGUGGGCCUGGUCAGAAACCCUCUCCAGGUCUCACCUUCCUCCCUGGGACGCCCUCGUCAAACAUUCUCGUGUCCCCCCCUCCUCCCCAGCCCAAGCCUGCCCAACACCUCACCAAGCCCCAUCCCCAACCUGCCCAACACCUCACUGCCCCACACCUCACCAAGCCCCAGCCCGUCAGCCUGCAGCUGGUCAACCAGGGAGGAGGCUCCUUCCUGAUCCAGCCUCAAGGUCUCUUCCAUGGCCAGAAUCAGUUCCUCCUGCCUGGCCAAUCCCCUGUCACCCUGUCCCAGCUCCCUGGCCAAUCCCCUGUCACCCUGUCCCAGCUCCCUGGCCAAUCCCCUGUCACCCUGUCCCAGCUCCCUGGCCAAUCCCCUGUCACCCUGUCCCAGCUCCCUGGCCAAUCUCCUGUCACCCUGUCCCAGCUCCCUGGCCAAUCCCCUGUCAACCUGUCCCAGCUUCCUGGCCAAUCCCCUGUCACCCUGUCCCAGCUCCCUGGCCAAUCCCCUGUCACCCUGUCCCAGCUUCCUGGCGGUUCUGCGCGGCCCCUGUUCACCUCUGGCCACCAGGGCGCAACAGUCCAGUCUGUCCAGGGUAUGACACCCUCCAUGGGCCACCACCUGGUAGAUGGCUCCCAGAUCCUGACGGCCGUGCCUCACCACAGACAGCUCAACUUCAGCCCCCACACAGUCUUCAGCACCACCUCAACAGGCCAGCUCUCCCUCCGCCAGGGAACACUGCUCUCUGGCUCCCUGCAGCUACAGUCAGGGUCGCCUACUGUCUUCCAGAUGCCAGCCCAGUUGGCGGGUGCCUACAAUCCCCAGGGGUCCCAGGGGCAGGGGGGUCCAGGCCAGCAUGCCACCCUGCUCCACAGCCCUGCUCUAGGGAGCCACAUCACCCUGAUGCAGUGAGUGUGAUAUAGAGCCUGAGUCCCAAUUGGCUCCCUAUUCCAUGCAGGGCCUAGUGAAUGUCUACACACCCUUUGCACAGUGGUGUUCAUACUUGGUGGAAGAACCUUUGGCAGCCAUUACAGCUGUGAAUAAUUCUGAAUAAGAUUCUACCGACUAUGCACAACUCUUAGGGCAACAUAUAUAUCCAUUGUUUUUGUCCAAAUUGCUCAAAGCUCAGUAAUUUUGGUUGGGAAUCAUUGAUGGAUAGCAAUAUUUGAACCUUGUCUCUGUUAAAAAAAAUGUAUAUAUAUAUUUAUGUAAAAUCAUCCACUAUGUUUACAACAAGGCCCUUAAGUAAUAAGGCAAAAACAUCAUGGCAAAGACAAUUUUUAUGUCUUAAAUGGAAAAACUUCAAGUUCCCUUUUGUCUGUCAGCCAAUACUAUGGGGAUCGUACUCUCGCGACGCCUGACGAGGCCAAUACUAUGGGCAUCGUACUCUCGUGACGCCUGACAAGGCCAAUACUAUGGGGAUCGUACUCUCGUGACGCCUGACGAGGCCAAUACUAUGGGGAUCGUACUCUCACGACGCCUGACAAGGCCAAUACUAUGGGGAUCGUACUCUCGCGACGCCUGACAAGGCCAAUACUAUGGGGAUCGUACUCUCACGACGCCUGACAAGGCCAAUACUAUGGGGAUCGUACUCUCACGACGCCUGAAAAGGCCAAUACUAUGGGGAUCGUACUCUCACGACGCCUGACAAGGCCAAUACUAUGGGGAUCGUACUCUCACGACGCCUGACAAGGCCAAUACUAUGGGGAUCGUACUCUCACGACGCCUGACAAGGCCGAUACUAUGAGGAUCGUACUCUCGCGACGCCUGACAAGGCCAAUACUAUGGGGAUCGUACUCUCACGACGCCUGAAAAGGCCAAUACUAUGGGGAUCGUACUCUCACGACGCCUGACAAGGCCAAUACUAUGGGGAUCGUACUCUCACGACGCCUGAAAAGGCCAAUACUAUGGGGAUCGUACUCUCACGACGCCUGACAAGGCCAAUACUAUGGGGAUCGUACUCUCACGACGCCUGACAAGGCCAAUACUAUGGGGAUCGUACUCUCACGACGCCUGACAAGGCCGAUACUAUGAGGAUCGUACUCUCGCGACGCCUGACAAGGCCAAUACUAUGGGGAUCGUACUCUCACGACGCCUGACAAGGCCAAUACUAUGGGGAUCGUACUCUCACGACGCCUGACAAGGCCAAUACUAUGGGGAUCGUACUCUCACGACUUCAGUUAAAGGAUUUACAAUCACGCCUGGCCAAUUAAAUCUGUGCCUGGUUGGAACACCGCGCCGUCCACAGGUGAUAGGAGUCUCGGAUUCAUUCCUUCAAUUAUUCCACUCUUCACCUCGGUGUGAACAGGAACGAUUCACGCUAUCAAAAUAAACAAUUGUAGCACGAGACUGUCUUAAUUGCGGCAACUAAACUGUCCCUUAGUGGUAGAGCGAGCGCACCCCCUAAAAUGUUUAGUUUAGAACAAAUUAUUAUUUACAAUGACGGCCUAGGAACAGUGGGUUAAACUGCCUUGUUCAGGGACAGAACGACAGAUGUUUGGGGGAUGACCUUGUCAGCUCGGGGAUUCAAACCAGCCCAGCGCUCUAACCACUAGGUUAUCUGCCUCCCCCCUCUAACCACUAGGUAAUCUACCUUCCCCCUCUAACAACUAGGCUACCUGCCUCCCCCUCUAACCACUAGGCUACCUACCUCCCCCCUCUAACAACUAGGCUACCUGCCUCCCCCUCUAACCACUAGGCUACCUACCUCCCCCUCUAACCACUAGGCUACCUACCUCCCCCUCUAACCACUAGGUUACCUCCCCCUCUAACCACUAGGCUACCUACCUCCCCCUCUAACCACUAGGUUACCUCCCCCUCUAACCACUAGGUUACCUACCUCCCCCCUCUAACCACUAGGCUACCUACCUCCCCCCUCUAACCACUAGGCUACCUCCCCCUCUAACCACUAGGCUACCUACCUCCCCCAUCUAACCACUAGGCUACCUACCUCCCACCUCUAACCACUAAGCUUAACAACUUAACGCUACGUGUAGAAUGCUACCCAAGGAACUCCACUGUCGGGAGGCAGGAAUAGCUGCGCCGCGCGACUAGGGGAACAGUGUC